GUCGGCAGACAGGGUGCGUGCUCUCUUCUGCUCCCCCAGCUACCGGCGGCGCUGGUUCCAGCUCCCUCCCUCUCGCUUUGGCCUGCACUUGACUGACAACAAAACAACUAUGCAACACCCUUCCCUGCAGCAGCUGCAACAGUGUGUCCUGGGCGCAUUUUGUGCCUCUCCAGCUGUGUGUAGCUUGUUUUAGGAAGGAAGCAAAACAGAGAUCUCAUCAUCUAUUCCUAGCCAAGGUCACAGCUGGGAGCUGUACCGGUUCUGUGGGCGACGCCCCAAGGGAAGCACUAAUGAUUGGAGCAAAGGGUCCUCACAGAAGCAAUCAGGAAGCAGGAAGAGCACGAAGUCUCCCAAAAGGACACCCACUUUUGACUGUGUCAGAUGUAAUCAAGAUUGCAAAGCUCUCAGUCAGCUGUUAGAGGACUGGGAACUGAGAGGGAAAGGUGACUUACUAGCAGAGCAGCCAACACAGAGGAUGAGGACAUUGGGAGAAGAGAUCUGUGGAAAGAUGCCACCAAAAUCCCACCUUGGCAGCCUGCAGACUCAAGGGACCCAGCUCAGGACUGUGAAGACCAUCUUGGGCACUGGUAUAGGAUACUCCAUUUUUCUGAAGAGGUGACCACACUUUGCUGAGCUGAGCUAGGUCCCACAGUGCUGAACUAAAGGGUUCCUGAGAUGCUGUAGAGCAUUAAAAGUCACAGUUAUGAUCAAGUGUAACACUGCAGGCUGCAAUCCUGGCACUCUGGAACCUGAGGCAGGAAAACAGCAAGUUUGAGCCCACUUGAGACUAUAUAGUGAGAUGCUUCACUGAGGAUAAAAGUUGUUAAGUCUCAUCUUUCAUGGAAGACAGAUUUUUUCUAAAAUUUAUUUUCUCUGAUUUCCUGGUGGUGGGGAUGGCGUAGGGGUGUGGGUAUGGGUGUGGGUGUGGAGUGAGGUAGGGGUGUGGAAGUAAGUGGGUAGAGUAAUCUUCUGGUUCAUUGCACCUGAUAGCUGUGGCACUUAGCUUGUGCUAGAUACCUCACAGAGACCUGCGAGUUCAUUCAGGAUGUUGUCUUUGGGUCACCAUAGUUGCAGAAGAGCAAACAAAGGCUCUUGGGAAGGUUGGACAACUGUGGUUUCGGUUAACAUCCUUGCCAGAUUUAAUAAAACAUCUUCAUCAAGAGUCAUGGGUUCCAGAUAAUCCACACUCCACAGCCUCUGCUUGCUCAGAAUAAUCUACGCCCAAUUAACACAUCUGAUUUCCCUGCUGGCUUCUUUCUGCCAUAGACCGGAAGACCCUGGGUUCUUCAGGGCUCUGGGUGGUGCACCUCUCUUUUGCUCCUUCCUUCCUUCUUCUUUGUGACACGAGGUCUCACAUAUUCUAGGCUAGCCUUGAACUUUGUGUGUAACCAAGGUUGGCCUUAAACUCCUGAUCCCUCUUGUCUCAUCUCAGUGCUAGGUUUACAGCUAUGUGUGCCAUCAUACACAACUUUUCUAUUAUUUUUUAACUUCUUAUGUGUUUGAGUGUUUGCCUGUAUGUAUUUCUGUGCACCACGUGUAAGUCUUAUGCUUGUGGGGAAUAGAAAAGGGUGUCAUACCCCCAGGAACUGG
rnacentral:lncRNA from 1 species